AGCUUAGCUGGUAGCAUGCAAUUUAUAAGCGCUCUUCCAUGGCUGCUACCCACCUGCCAAAGCAAGUGUUCACGGACCUGCAAAUUCAGCCGAGAUCAUUGACAGAUAUCCGACAGCCGAGAUACCAUUUAUACUGGUUUCAGAUAUCCGAAAGGCGCAAUCCUGGUGUGAAAUUAAUGAAAGGUUACGACGCUUUUGGUUGACAGAGAUAAUUGACAGGCAGCCAUUGUUGUGCGGUGUCACUUCACUUUUCUUUCUUGGUUUCUGCAGUUUGACUUUCGAUGAUUAUAUGUCACAGUGUUCAUCUCAGCCGUUCUCUUAUUGUUCAAAUCACCGCACCCUUCUGCCACCGCAGAUCAUGCUUUAAAUCCACGUGAUUUGGUGAGAAAGAUGGUCAUUACGUAAAAAUUAACCACAAAAUUGCUGCUGAAUGUGUCCAUACUUGUUUUCCGGCAGUCUAGUCGUGUAGCCUGGGCUUCCCUUGUCGACAUGACAAUAGGAGGACUCAAUUAUGAGGAUGGUUAUAAGACUCGGUUUAAAUUUGAACCGGUCAAGGAUAUAUAUAGUUCAUAAUUUGCCAGUUGUUACGUAAAAUAGCGUCUAAAUGUAAGAGAUGGUCAUAAUUUAUUUUUUAAUUAUUUAUUCCCUAAACAACUCAAUUUUGUUUUGGACUCUUGUUUUACACUUUAGCCUUUUAUUUUGGACUCUUGUUGUACACUUUAGCUUGUUUCCUAAUCAACUUUAUUUUAUCUUGAUUCUUAUUCUUCUUGUUUU